rnacentral:misc_RNA from 1 species
UAUGAUUUUCUUGCUGGGUUGAAUGUGAAAUAUGAUCAAAUUAGGGUCCAAGAACUUGGAAAGGAUCCUUUACCUACUUUAAGACAGAUAUCCUCUUAUGUUCAACAGGAAGAGAGCAGGAGGAGUGUCAUGAUUCAUUCUAUGUCUGUUGAUAAGGCAAGACUAGUUGCUAAUUCCUCACGUGAACAGUCACAUGGUUCAUCAAAUAAGGAUCAACUACAUUGUGAUUAUUGUGGAAAAAAUCGGCAUACUAAGGAACACUGUUGAAAAUUGCAUGGAUGCCCCACUAAAGGGCGUGAAGGAAAAAGGAUGGGCCUUACUAAACUACAAGUUAAUGUAUCUGAGGCUGUGAAUCUGUCUGAAGAUACUACCACCAUUGAAAUGUUUUCCAAUGAAGACGCACAGACUCUAAAGCGUUUGCUAUCACAACUUGAAUC